AUUUAUUGUUGCAGGCUUAUGGCGUGGGACGGAAAUAUACAGGAAUCCCACUAUUGUCGCCAAUUUCGUGGUGAAGCCAUAGCAACUCAUUUAACUAGAAUUUAAGGAGCAUUUCAAGCCUCAAACAAACAUCUUCGCCGCCAUCUGAUCUGAAAACCUCUAUGUAUGCGGAGAUAUAGCACAGCAUAUAUAAAGAUGCGGCAACACGUGAAUGUCACUGCAGCCAUGGCGAUCAUCGUUCAAAUGUCAAUGCUUUGUUUGUUGCUUCUCUCGGUGUCCUGCAUCUCAGGAAGUGAUGCUGCUGAACCACCUCCAGGGAGAAUUCCUCUUAAAUUUGUCAACGACGACCCUUAUCUGAGAGUGCCACCGGAAAUCCUGAAAAAAAUAGGAACACCACGGCUCAUUCCACGUUAAGCAGGCUAGACAUCAAGAAAAUGAACAGCCUAGAGGCAGCAGCACCAUGUGACACACAAUAUUUUGAAGAUUUGUGCCGCAGUCUGAAACAAACGUGCAAGAAUAAAGGUGUCGCUGCAUUUACUGCAAACGCUA